GACGAACGCUGGCGGCGUGCUUAACACAUGCAAGUCGAGGGCGUGGUGGGGCAACCUGCCACGACCGGCGAACGGGUGCGUAACACGUGAGCGAUCUACCCUGGUGUGGGGGAUAGCCGGCCCAACGGCCGGGUAAUACCGCAUACGCUCUUUGAGGGGCAUCCCUUGGAGAACAAAGUCUUCGGACGCACUGGGAGGGGCUCGCGGCCUAUCAGCUAGUUGGCGGGGUAACGGCCCACCAAGGCGGCGACGGGUAGCUGGUCUGAGAGGAUGGCCAGCCACAUUGGGACUGAGAGACGGCCAGACUCCUACGGGAGGCAGCAGUGGGGAAUCUUGCGCAAUGGGCGAAAGCCUGACGCAGCGACGCCGCGU
rnacentral:rRNA from 1 species